GGGGGUGUACCGGUUUCGACUGGUGCGGCUCGGGGUACAGGCUGCAGGUGGAGCGCCGAUCUCCUGAUUCGGCAACAAUUUAACUGCCAACAACGACAGUUACGAUUACGCCUUAGCUGCGUAACCGCGUGGAACCUUUCCGCCGCUCUGAGGAAGGGCUUCCGCGUCGCAAUCAGGGCUGGCCGAUCUCCGGUUUCGGACGGAGUGAGGCGAGAAAAUCCCGAAAUACGGCAGGCCGCGCGCCGCUUAGCCAAGCCCGUCCCGACAAUUCAAUAAACGGCUAAACCUGUAGAAGCCUGUAUUUCGCGUAUCAGGACGGGGGUUCGACUCCCCCCACCUCCAAAU
rnacentral:tmRNA from 1 species